rnacentral:rRNA from 1 species
CAGUAACCGCGGGAAUACGUAGGGUGCGAGCGUUAAUCGGAAUUACUGGGCGUAAAGCGUGCGCAGGCGGUUCGUUAAGACAGAUGUGAAAUCCCCGGGCUUAACCUGGGAACUGCAUUUGUGACUGACGGGCUAGAGUAUGGCAGAGGGGGGUAGAAUUCCACGUGUAGCAGUGAAAUGCGUAGAGAUGUGGAGGAAUACCGAUGGCGAAGGCAGCCCCCUGGGCCAAUACUGACGCUCAUGCACGAAAGCGUGGGGAGCAAACAGGAUUAGAUACCCCCGUAGUCCCUGUCUCUUAUAC